rnacentral:lncRNA from 1 species
UGGAAACCCUUGAGGGGAAACCCAUUCCCCAGACUUGGAACGCCGACAACUUGAAGCUGUAUUACCAGUAAAUUCUGUAAUUCAAUCGUCGGAAUACAAGUUCAGUUUGAAAAAUCGGAGUUCUAACUCUUCGACUACUGAUCGGCGCUCAGCCCCGACGCAUCGACGCGGACCUGGCACCGACGACACAUCGGCCCCUUACACGGACCGAUGCAUCUACGAUGACGGGAGUUCAUACUCCUUCUACGGUCGAAUUUUCGGGCAGAAUCCAUCGGCCGACUAGCCGAUCGGGCCCCGACCGAAGAAAGGCUAAAAGCCCACGCGGCUAUUGCCGCGACUUCCGACCAGGCUAUGGCCGGUCGAGGGAUAUUCGGCUUACCACCGUCUAUCACAUGAUGCGACCUUAGUCGCACCCACUACUCGCCGACCGACUUACGGCCGGCUGAACGACACUCGGCUUGCCACCGUCUGUCAAAAGACAUGAAACCCGACGCAAGAGCAUGGAGACCCGACUUACUAUCAUGCCCCCGACACUGCGCCGGACGAUGAUCGACUAAGUGCAUCUACGGAGGUCCGGCUGUCGAACCUUUACCAGGUUCGGUCGGCUCCCGACUUAACAGAUGCGCCCGAACGGCGACUACAAUUAUUGGAAACUGACCUAAAAUCGGGACACAAGCUACUUCGGAGCUGUGCAAGCCGGUUAAGUCCUACCGACUUACCCGAGUUGGCGACUUCUCUAAGUUGGUGACUAGGGUUCGACAUUACAGCGAUAAGAAACAUUUCAAACAAAAGACACAAGAAAAAAUAAUUUCAUUCAUUGAUCAAAGGAAAUUACAAAGUCGGGCCGAAGCCCGAUUACAUGUAUUUUCAAGAAGAAACAAAAGGAAGAUGGUCGG